UCCACCUCUUCCCAUUCCGAACAGAGAAGUUAAACCUCAUCACGCCGAUGGUACUGCGAAAGCGGAAGAGUAGGUAAUCGCCAUUC
rnacentral:rRNA from 1 species